GAUGAACGCUGGCGGCGUGCCUAAUACAUGCAAGUCGAGCGAACAGACGAGGAGCUUGCUCCUCUGACGUUAGCGGCGGACGGGUGAGUAACACGUGGAUAACCUACCUAUAAGACUGGGAUAACUUCGGGAAACCGGAGCUAAUACCGGAUAAUAUAUUGAACCGCAUGGUUCAAUAGUGAAAGAUGGUUUUGCUGUCACUUAUAGAUGGAUCCGCGCCGCAUUAGCUAGUUGGUAAGGUAACGGCUUACCAAGGCAACGAUGCGUAGCCGACCUGAGAGGGUGAUCGGCCACACUGGAACUGAGACACGGUCCAGACUCCUACGGGAGGCAGCAGUAGGGAAUCUUCCGCAAUGGGCGAAAGCUUGACGGAGCAACGCCGCGUGAGUGAUGAAGGUCUUCGGAUCGUAAAACUCUGUUAUUAGGGAAGAACAAAUGUGUAAGUAACUAUGCACGUCUUGACGGUACCUAAUCAGAAAGCCACGGCUAACUACGU
rnacentral:rRNA from 1 species